GACAUAGCCAAGAAUUUAUUAAAAUGUAGUAUUUUUAUAAUUAAACAAUUUAUUAAUUACAGUAAUUGAUUUAUGUUUAUAAAGACGACGUCCAUUGUCCCGAUUUACCGGACACUUUGUCAGGUGGUUACAAUUGCCACUGUAGUCACCUGACAGGGUCCACCUGACAGAAUUUAAAUUCUGCCGACUGCCGGAUUCGGCAAAUCGCUUUCGACCAAUUGAGUGAAAUUUUUUAAUCUUUAGCGUAUUUAUUGUGAUGUGUAACCAAAUUUUAAUGAUUUUAUAUGUUUAAAAAACAUAAAACAUUCGACAAUAAAGUAUAUUUCAUCACACAAAACUGGAUAAAAAGCAUAUUUUACCUUUCAUCUAUCGUCAUCAUUCAACCAUUACCCGGCGACGAAUUGUUUUUUUUUUUUUAUCACGAAAAGGAAACUCCAAACAAUUCUAAUAAUUUUCUUUUGUUUUAUCAAAAAUAUUAUUGUCUCUAGACUUUUUACUGGAAAAAACUAAUUCCUGAAAUAACAGAUGAUAAUUUUCUCACAAACACCAGAGGAGCCAUUGUUAUUUUGACAAAUUUUGUUAGCUCAUCAAUUGGUUAUUUUUGGUAAAUCUUACAAAUUGUCUCAAUGGUCCUCUCAUUUGCAGGCUUGAUGACUGCCAGUGAAAUGUACGCUUCUCUUCUGUUUUCAGUGAUGGCUAGGUUGGGUAUUCUGUAAUUCUGGUUGAUGAUACUGGGAUGAUGGACACCCAUCUUUAGCCAGAUUAGAUGAUCUAAAGUUUCUUUGCAGAUGAAUUGAAACUAUUUCUUUAUUUGUUUGUUAUUGCCUGUUACAUCACAUAUUCUUGUUUUUUUACAAUUUUCCAUUGUUGAUUGUAGAUUGUAUUUACAAAGCCAUUCAGAUGAUAUAUAUAUACAUUUUUAUAUUAUUCCUAUAGUUGUCCA
rnacentral:lncRNA from 1 species